ensembl:lncRNA
GGUGAUGCCUGUCUCCUGUGGCCACAGGAAUAUUAAAGCAAUAGAGCCUAUUUCUUUUUCUCCUCUCCGCAUCAUUCCUGCAGCCCCAAAUAUUUCACUGCCCAAGAAGACAUGCCCUUCCUUCCGGCCAAAUCGCUGCAUCACGUUGUCCUGGUUCAAUGCAUUCUAACCCAUGGACAGAACAGAAUGUAGAAAACAGCACCAAACAUGCACGACCACACACAGAGCUCUUAUGAGAUACAUUUCCCAUGAAUAUUGCUUAACCUAAUAAUUUUCACUGUUUUAAUACCAUCAAUUUCCCUCCUGAUCAGUGCUACCCAUCAGGAAGUAUCUUCAGGUAAUUAACAUUUUUACAUUUUUAAUUAUGAAAUCUUUCCUGAGCUGGCAGGGUGUCAGAGAUGAGAAGCAUCAAGCAUCAAUGGUGCUGUGAUCUAAAGAUUACUGGAGGCCUGGAAAAUCAAGGAGGGUGUGAAUUCUGCCACCUGCUGUGUCAGUACCCUCGUCUAAAACAGAACUGGACAUUGGCACAAAAUAACGGGGCUCAGUAGAAGCAGCUGUGUUUGGUGGCCAACUUUGCUCUAAAACUUCGAUGCCAAAAGCAGACGUCACUUUCAUCAGAAGACACUGGGAUUCCGUUUUUAAGGAGAGAGAGGGAGCCUGCUCCAGCCAGCCUCCACGCAGGGCUGGGACACAGUGCAGACUCCCUUCUGAUAGCCACUUUGGGUUUCCAUCCUACUCCCCUCUCGCCUUUGUAGUCACACUUUAAAUGCUUUCUUCCCUCAUCUCUACUUUGUCCUUCCCUCACAGCCCUCUUUAUCCCACAGUCCAUUUAAAAAUUCUAUUUAACAACCUGCACAUAUCAAAUCAGAGUUUGGGUUGUUCCCCUAUUCCUAGGCUGCUGUAGAAGAAGUGUGUGCCCAUAGAAAUGCCCCAGAAUGGUAGGAAAUCAGGACUAGAAUGGAAAGAAAAGCAGGAAAGCAAUGUCCACUUACAAUUACUUGGCAGAUUUGCUCGUGUGGUUUGGGGAUAAUGUUCCUUGAUGUGUCUUCAUCUCAAGCCCACCUCAGCUUAGACCAUUCAUAUUUGCUAAGCCCUUUCCUCAGCAUCUUGUGGCUGGGUUGUCACCGUUCUACCAUCAAGGGCAAGCGGGAGGGCGAUGUGUUCUGAGCUCAGAAAGGCUCCAAGGCUUGUCUGAGACCACGUCCCAUGGAGGGGGCCAGGGUUACCACACAGCCUGUCUCUCCUCCAGGAACAGAUCACACACCCCACAUAUGCAGGGAGCCCUUCAUCAACUGUCCCUGCUCCCCAGUCUUAAUCCAUCCUUCCAAUUCCAGCUCCGUCUCUGCCAGAGACACUUCCCUCCCUUCCUUCCCCACCUUUGCUCCCCCUGUUGCGUUGGUCCCUCCAGGAGCAGUGAGGAUGUCCACUCUCUCUGACCCCAACUUCCAGGGCUUAGGGGUCCAAUACAUGUAGCCAUAGCAACCAGUGCCGCAAAAUUCCUGUUUAAGAGAAUGGACAAUGAAAUCAGAAGGACAGGCCUGUUGAAGGGAAAAAAAAAACUUUCUAAAAUCAAGUUCUCAUGAAAUUACAUCUCCCCCCCUUAAUUUCAAAAGUAUUCAGGCCAGGUGCAGUGGCACACCCAUGUAAUCCCAACACUUUGGGAGGCCGAGGCAGGAGGCUCACUUGAGGCCAGGAGUUUGAGGCUGCAGAGUUCUGCCCUGCACUCCAGCCCAGGCAA